GAUGAAGAACGUAGCGAAAUGCGAUAAGUAAUGUGAAUUGCAGAAUUCAGUGAAUCAUCGAAUCUUUGAACGCACAUUGCGCCCGCCAGUAUUCUGGCGGGCAUGCCUGUUCGAGCGUCAUUUCAACCAUCAAGCCCGGGCUUGUGUUGGGGACCUGCGGCUGCCGCAGGCCCUGAAAUGCAGUGGCGGGCUCGCUGUCACUCCGAGCGUAGUAGUUACAUCUCGCUCUGGGCGUGCUGCGGGUUCCGGCCGUUAAAAGCCUUAUUUACCCAAGGUUGACCUCGGAUCAGGUAGGAAGACCCGCUGAACUUAAGCAUAUCAAUAAGCGGAGGA
rnacentral:misc_RNA from 1 species